rnacentral:rRNA from 15 species
UCAUAUGAGACUACCCCCUGAAUUUAAGCAUAUUAAUUAGGGGAGGAAAAGAAACCAACAGGGAUUCCCUUAGUAGUGGCGAACGAAACGGGAUCAGCCCAUCACGUAGGAUCAUAGGCUUGAUUGUCUAUUGAUCGAUUCCGUGUAAAGGAGGGUCCAUUAUCUUGCACAUAUAAACAUCAUAUUUAAGUCCAGCUUGAAUGCGGCUCAAUAUACCCAAAGAGGGUGCCACGCCCGUAUA